UGUUUGACUUUGUUUUGUUUUGUUUUUUAUUUUUGAAGACAGGGUUUCUCUGUGUAGUGCUGGACCUCACUUUGUCAACCAGGCUGGACUCGAACUCAGAAAUUGACCUGUCUCUGCCUCCCAAGUGCUGGGAUUAAAGUUGUGCAACACCUUGCCCAGCUAUCAUUUUCUAUGCUAGUAUACUGGACUGUGAAAGAAGGAAAAGGGGCAGGAAUGGCAGCAAACAUUUAAUCCUAGCAUUCAGGAUACAUAAGUAAGUGGAUCUCUGCUAGAUCAAGCCCAGACUGCUCUACAUAGAAAGUUCCUAUAUGGACAGUGCUAUACAGAGAAAUCUUGUGUGAUGUCCAUACUUGAAUGUAUCUGGAAUGAAGUGCAAUCCAAAAAUGGAAAGCACACCUGUGACCCAGAUCUUGAAUCUGGAAGUCACAAACUUUUGCUCCAGAUCUUGAGGUGGGAUAACACAUGCUUUUAACCAAGAUCAGCAUACACCAUUGAUCCAUAUCUUGAGGCACACCUUUAAUUUAGGCCAUACAUUCUGCUCGAGGUCUACAUAAGGACAAUGGAAGAAGGAAGGGUUCAUUCAUUCAUUCAUUCAUUCUUUGCACUUAUUUGCCACCAUGUCAAUUGGAAUCCAUUUUUUCAGGUUUCUAUCUUAUACAGAAAGCCAACUAAAAUACCCAGCCUUGUAGAACUGAACAACUACUAGAUUCUUGGACUUUCCAUUCACAGCUGACCAUUAUUGAAUUAGUUGGAGUGCAGCCUAUAAGAUGUUCUGAUAAAUUCCCUUAUGUAUAUAGAGCUUAAAUGCCCCUCAGAGUCCACAAAUUAAAGGUUUAGACACUAACAAGGCUGGAAAACUGUAGAACUUUUAAGAGAUGGAUAUGGUGUCACAGUUAGGUCAUUAAAGCAUUCUCCCGAAAGGCUAGUGAAACCCCAGCUCCUUCCUCCCUACCUUUGUUUCCUUCUCAACAACAUAGUGUUUUCCAUCACCAAUUAAACCUGCACUAGAACCUCCAUAGCUGUACCCUAAAAAAGCCAUUCCCAGUUAAUUAUGUUAAGCCUUUUCUGUGACAAUGGACAGCUGAUGAACACACACAUCAGAACCCAGGAAUGAUGUCUUCACCCCCACCAAAUGGUGGAAAAGUUGAACUCCCA
rnacentral:lncRNA from 1 species